rnacentral:rRNA from 1 species
CCCUUAGAUGUUCUGGGCCGCACGCGUGCUACACUGAGUAAAUCAAUGGGUAAGGGAACACGAAAGUGCAACCUAAUCUUGAAAUUUGCUCGUGAUGGGGAUCGACGGUUGCAAUUUUCCGUCGUGAACGAGGAAUACCUUGUAGGCGCGUGUCAUCAUCACGCGCCGAAUACGUCCCUGCCCUUUGUACACACCGCCCGUCGCUCCUACCGAUUGAGUGAUCCGGUGAGGCUCUGGGACGUGGACGGAAAGAGCGUUUCGCUUGUUCUGUUUGGGAAACUUGGUCGAACCUUAUCAUUUAGAGGAAGGAGAAGUCGUAACA